GAUGAACGCUGGCGGCGUGCCUAAUACAUGCAAGUCGAGCGAACAGACGAGGAGCUUGCUCCUCUGACGUUAGCGGCGGACGGGUGAGUAACACGUGGAUAACCUACCUAUAAGACUGGGAUAACUUCGGGAAACCGGAGCUAAUACCGGAUAAUAUAUUGAACCGCAUGGUUCAAUAGUGAAAGACGGUUUUGCUGUCACUUAUAGAUGGAUCCGCGCCGCAUUAGCUAGUUGGUAAGGUAACGGCUUACCAAGGCAACGAUGCGUAGCCGACCUGAGAGGGUGAUCGGCCACACUGGAACUGAGACACGGUCCAGACUCCUACGGGGGGCAGCAGUAGGGAAUCUUCCGCAAUGGGCGAAAGCUUGACGGAGCAACGCCGCGUGAGUGAUGAAGGUCUUCGGAUCGUAAAACUCUGUUAUUAGGGAAGAACAUAUGUGUAAGUAACUAUGCACGUCUUGACGGUACCUAAUCAGAAAGCCACGGCUAACUACGUG
rnacentral:rRNA from 1 species